rnacentral:rRNA from 1 species
GACGAACGCUGGCGGCGUGCUUAACACAUGCGAGUCGAACGGAAAGGCCCUGCUUUUGUGGGGUGCUCGAGUGGCGAACGGGUGAGUAACACGUGAGUAACCUGCCCUUGACUUUGGGAUAACUUCAGGAAACUGGGGCUACUACCGGAUAGGAGCUCCUGCUGCAUGGUGGGGGUUGGAACGUUUCGGCGGUUGGGGAUGGACUCGCGGCUUACCAGCUUGUUGGUGGGGUAGUGGCUUACCCAGGCUUUGACGGGUAGCCGGCCUGAGAGGGUGACCGGCGACAUUGGGACUGAGAGAGGGCGCAGAGGCCUACGGGGGGCAGCAGGGGGGAAUAUUGCACAAUGGGCGGAAGCCUGAGGCAGCGACGCCGCGUGCGGGAUGACGGCCUUCGGGGUGUAAACCGCUUUAGCCUGUGACGAAGCGGGAGUGACGGUAAUGAGUAAAGAAGCACCGGCUAACUACGUG